rnacentral:rRNA from 1 species
UAGUCCCGCAACGAGCGCAACCCUUGCCAUUAGUUGCUACGCAAGAGCACUUUAAUGGGACUGCCGUUGACAAAACGGAGGAAGGUGGGGACGACGUCAAAUCAUCAUGCCCCUUAUGACCUGGGCUACACACGUACUACAAUGGCAAUUAACAGAGGGAAGCGAAGCAGUGAUGUGGAGCAAAUCCCUAAAAAUUGUCUCAGUUCGGAUUGUAGGCUGCAACUCGCCUACAUGAAGUCGGAAUUGCUAGUAAUCGCAGAUCAGCAUGCUGCGGUGAAUACGUUCCCGGGCCUUGUACACACCGCCCGUCACACCAUGGGAGUCGGUAACACCCGAAGCCAGUAGUCUAACCUUUUAGGAGGACGCUGUCGAAGGUGGGAUUGAUGACUGGGGUGAAGUCGUAACAAGGUAACA